rnacentral:lncRNA from 1 species
GCUGUAACACAGUUUGCUGAAUGGGAAAUGGUUGACUCAGGUGGGGGAGAGACCUGUGGCUAUUAAAUGACAACUAAUGGCCUUCCCUCCUCGGAACCCCUCCAUCUUCCUCCCAACUUCAGCGUCCUUUAUUAAGCCCUCUUUAGGCCUCUCCAGGGACCAAGGGAAGCUGGGAUGAGAAGGGAUGCAGAGGGGGGCCAGGGUGAUCCCUGGUGGUAAAGCUGGGAGUCACUGUCCUGGGCUCUGCUGGCCCCAGGGCAGGAAUAAGGCAGGAGAUCCCUGGUAAGGUGUCUACAUCUUGUGCUCUGAGGUUGCUAGACAUGGACCAGUUUGGGCAAGGAGGAAGUUUAGUGACUUCGCUUCCAUGACCCACGUGGCUUCUUGGAGCUUGGAGCUUUGGUGAGGAGGCCCUGAGCCAGCAAAUAAACAUUUACUAACUGU